rnacentral:rRNA from 1 species
GAUGAACGCUGGCGGCGUGCUUAACACAUGCAAGUCGAGCGAGUGAGUUCUUCGGAACGAUCUAGCGGCGGACGGGUGAGUAACACGUGGGCAACCUGCCUCAUAGAGGGGAAUAGCCUCCCGAAAGGGAGAUUAAUACCGCAUAAAAUUAUCGAGUGGCAUCACAUGAUAAUCAAAGGAGUAAUCCGCUAUGAGAUGGGCCCGCGGCGCAUUAGCUAGUUGGUGAGGUAACGGCUCACCAAGGCGACGAUGCGUAGCCGACCUGAGAGGGUGAUCGGCCACAUUGGGACUGAGACACGGCCCAGACUCCUACGGGAGGCAGCAGUGGGGAAUAUUGCACAAUGGGGGAAACCCUGAUGCAGCAACGCCGCGUGAGUGAUGAAGAUCUUCGGAUUGUAAAGCUCUGUCUUUGGGGACGAUAAUGACGGUACCCGAGGAGGAAGCCACGGCUAACUACGUGCCAGCAGCCGCCGCGG